GAUGAACGCUAGCUACAGGCUUAACACAUGCAAGUCGAGGGGAAACGAUAGAGAAAGCUUGCUUUUUCUAGGCGUCGACCGGCGCACGGGUGAGUAACGCGUAUCCAACCUGCCCACCACUUGGGGAUAACCUUGCGAAAGUAAGACUAAUACCCAAUGAUAUCUCUAGAAGACAUCUGAACGGGAUUAAAGAUUUAUCGGUGAUGGAUGGGGAUGCGUCUGAUUAGCUUGUUGGCGGGGUAACGGCCCACCAAGGCUACGAUCAGUAGGGGUUCUGGGAGGAAGGUCCCCCACAUUGGAACUGAGACACGGUCCAAACUCCUACGGGAGGCAGCAGUGAGGAGUAUUGGUCAAUGGACGAGAGUCUGAACCAGCCAAGUAGCGUGCAGGAUGACGGCCCUAUGGGUUGUAAACUGCUUUUAUAAGGGAAUAAAGUGAGUCUCGUGAGACUUUUUGCAUGUACCUUAUGAAUAAGGACCGGCUAAUUCCGUGCCAGCCGCCGCCGUAA
rnacentral:rRNA from 1 species